AUUGAACGCUGGCGGCAGGCCUAACACAUGCAAGUCGAACGGUAACAGGAAGUAGCUUGCUACUUUGCUGACGAGUGGCGGACGGGUGAGUAAUGUCUGGGGAUCUGCCUGAUGGAGGGGGAUAACUACUGGAAACGGUAGCUAAUACCGCAUAAUGUCGCAAGACCAAAGCGGGGGACUUUCGGGCCUCGCACCAUCAGAUGAACCCAGAUGGGAUUAGCUAGUAGGUAAGGUAAUGGCUUACCUAGGCGACGAUCCCUAGCUGGUCUGAGAGGAUGACCAGCCACACUGGAACUGAGACACGGUCCAGACUCCUACGGGAGGCAGCAGUGGGGAAUAUUGCACAAUGGGCGCAAGCCUGAUGCAGCCAUGCCGCGUGUAUGAAGAAGGCCUUCGGGUUGUAAAGUACUUUCAGUCAGGAGGAAGGGUGUGAAAUUAAUACUUUCAUACAUUGACGUUACUGACAGAAGAAGCACCGGCUAACUCCGUGCCAGCAGCCGCCGUAA
rnacentral:rRNA from 1 species